rnacentral:rRNA from 1 species
ACGAACGCUGGCGGCGUGCUUCACCCCUGCCAGUCGCACGGAAAGGCCCUGCUUUCCGGGUCCUCGAGUGGCGAACGGGUGAGUAACACGUGGGUGAUCUGCCCUGCACUUCGGGAUAAGCCUGGGAAACUGGGUCUAAUACCGGAUAGGAGCCAUUUUUAGUGUGAUGGUUGGAAAGUUUUUUUCGGUGUAGGAUGAGCUCGCGGCCUAUCAGCUUGUUGGUGGGGUAAUGGCCUACCAAGGCGGCGACGGGUAGCCGGCCUGAGAGGGUGGACGGCCACAUUGGGACUGAGAGACGGCCCAGACUCCUACGGGAGGCAGAAGUGGGGAAUAUUGCACAAUGGGCGCAAGCCUGAUGCAGCGACGCCGCGUGGGGGAGGACGGCCUUCGGGUUGUAAACUCCUUUCGCUAGGGACGAAGCUUUUUGUGACGGUACCUAGAUAAGAAGCACCGGCUAACUACGUG